GAUCGAUCCUGCAAGAGAAGACUGCGGCCACUGCCGUCGCGGAUCCGGUGGAGGCGGCUGGACGCGGGAUCCAGUGGCGGCUGGACGAUUGUCGUCACUGUCCUCCCGCCCCUUCCUCGUCGUAUCUCCUCCUCUUCCUACCUCAUCGCUCUGAGCUGGGCAUGCUCCGCUAGAUCCCUCUCCAGGGUAUUGGCUAGGCUCUUCCUCCACAUCACGUCUCUCCUCCACUCGUCAUCAUCUGUGUGCGGAGAUUGUGGCUGCCAAGAUGAACUCGUCGCCAACCCUGGCCGGAGGGCAUCUGUACAUCGACUCCCUCCACUCUCUUGCUUAGUUUUGUUGAUUCGUUUCUCUGCCUUCCUUUUCACAUCUUACGAAAUGGAGCCUGUGCCUGUAGCUUUGUUUAUGAGAUUCGAUCUUGUGACAUGUUUGUCCUUUUUCAGGUAUUGGCCAAGGUGUGUGGAAUGUCAUGGAAUUAAUUCCUGGGAAUCAUCUCCAGCACAAACACUCAAUGCAGAAUGUCCACAUAAUCUCUCCAUAUUUUUCUUUCUCAAGAAGGUGCACACACUAUUCUCCUCUUGCUGAAUUUUGCUUCGUUCUUCAACUGCCCUGCUCCCAAAGCUUCUCAACGCCUACAAGGUGUUUGAUUAAAAUCCAAGAAGACUAUGGGGCUCAAUUGAUCUGCGCAAGCCAUGUGAUUCACAACCAGCUUCAAUCAUCAGCAACUUCCCAUGUGUUGAAGAAAAAUAUGAGAAAAUUGUUGUUGGGAGGCAAAAAUAUUGAACCAGAGAGUGCGACAGUGAAGAACAAAAUGGUUUUUUUAAUUGAAGUACCCGUCUGAAUAGGUUGUAUUCGUGGGUGUUUUGAUAAGGAACAAGUAUUGUUGGGAGUGGAAUAUUACGAUGAAAGCAUACACUAUAGUGCGCUGAAGCCAUUCCCUUCGGUUCUGAAUUAGAGAGUGCAUCACUGAAGAAACAAAAGAAACAUGAAGUGAGUUUUAUUGAGUAUUCUGAGUUCAACACUUUGUAGUUCUAAAGUGAAAGUGGGUUAGAAUCUUCUUAAAUCAAUAUUUGCUGGUUGCAGGGAUGCAGACAUUAGUGAAGAGGGCACCGCCCUGACCAGCGUGCUCGCCAUGGGUGCCCAGAUCGCAAAAACGCGUGAGGAUUGAUGUCCUGGGCGGCCAGAGCUGAUGUCCUUGUUCAUGAUCUCGCCAUCUUCGGCACCUCUGCAGGAAAGAAGGCAAUAUUUUGGGAGUGUAUGCAGUGGAAUGGAAAUGGUAAAACUCUUCGAAAGUACUCUCUCUUGCAAAUAUCACAUGU